rnacentral:rRNA from 1 species
CUACGGGAGGCAGCAGUGGGGAAUAUUGCACAAUGGAGGAAACUCUGAUGCAGCAACGCCGCGUGGAGGAUGACACUUUUCGGAGCGUAAACUCCUUUUAUAUAGGAAGAAGAUGACGGUACUAUAUGAAUAAGCGCCGGCUAACUCCGUGCCAGCAGCCGCGGUAAUACGGAGGGCGCAAGCGUUACUCGGAAUCACUGGGCGUAAAGGGCGUGUAGGCGGAUUAAAAAGUCAGAAGUGAAAUCCUAUAGCUUAACUAUAGAACUGCUUCUGAAACUCUUAAUCUAGAAUAUGGGAGAGGUAGAUGGAAUUUCUGGUGUAGGGGUAACAUCCGUAGAGAUCAGAAGGAAUACCGAUUGCGAAGGCGAUCUACUAGAACAUUAUUGACGCUGAGACGCGAAAGCGUGGGGAGCAAACAGGAUUAGAUACCCUAGUAGUC